rnacentral:rRNA from 1 species
GAUGAACGCUGGCGGUAUGCUUAACACAUGCAAGUCGAACGGACUCUUCGGAGUUAGUGGCGGACGGGUGAGUAACGCGUGAGAAUCUGGCUUUGGGUUCGGGACAACUACUGGAAACGGUGGCUAAUACCGGAUGUGCCGAGAGGUAAAAGAGAAAUUGCCUGAAGAUGAGCUCGCGUCUGAUUAGCUAGUUGGUGAGGUAAAGGCUCACCAAGGCAGCGAUCAGUAGCUGGUCUGAGAGGAUGACCAGCCACACUGGGACUGAGACACGGCCCAGACUCCUACGGGAGGCAGGAGUGGGGAAUUUUCCGCAAUGGGCGAAAGCCUGACGGAGCAAUACCGCGUGAGAGAAGAAGGCUCUUGGGUUGUAAACCUCUUUUCUUAGGGAAGAACAAAAUGACGGUACCUAAGGAAUCAGCAUCGGCUAACUCCGUG